AAUGAGGGGCAGGUGGAGGGAAAAUAGGGAAAAUGGGGGGAAUGGAGGGAAAAUGGAGAAAAUGUGGGAAAAUGAGGGAAAAGUGUGGGAAAAUGUGGGAAAAUGGAGGGGAAAUGAGGGAAAGUGGAGAAAAUGUGGGAAAAUGGAGGGAAAAUGUGGGAAAAUGGAGAAAAUAUGGGAAAUGGAGGGAAAAUGAGGGAAAAGCAUGGGAAAAUGUGGGAAAAUGCAGAAAAUGUGGGGAAAUGGAGGGAAAAUAGAGAAAAUGUGGGGAAAUGGAGGGGAAAUGAGGGAAAAGCCUGGGAAAACGGAGGGAAAAUUGAGAAAAUGUGGGAAAAUGUGGGAGAAAUGGGAUUUUUUUCUUUGGGAAUUGCUCCAGGUUUGGGGGUUUUGCUUCAGGAUUGGCGGGGAUGGGGCUGAGGGAGCCGGGGGGGGGUCCCUGUGGAAUAUUCCAGAGGAAAUGUGGGAUCUGCUCCUGACCCCUGCCCGUGUCCAGGUGGGGCUGCCAUGAGGGCCGGGGUGCAGGAGGGCGACCGGAUCCUCAAGGUGGGCGUUCCCGAAACCCCCGGCGUUCCCGGCUGGCUCCCCGCAUUCCCGGGGAAAAUUCCCGGGGAAAAUUCCCGCUUUUCCGGUCCUGUCCCGGCUCUUGCAGGUGAAUGGGAUGAUGGUGGCCAACAACUCCCACCUGGAAGUGGUGAAGCUGAUCAAGUCCGGCGCCUACGUGGCCCUGACCCUGCUGGGAUCCCCGCCCGGAUCCGUGGGAAUUCCGGGAUCCCAGCAGGAGCCGGAGCCCUCGGGGUGUCCCCAGGGGCCCCCCCAGCUCAUCACGGAGCCCAGGCCCCUCCAGGACCCGGAGCUGCGGCGCCACGCGGCGCAGAUCCUGCGGAACAUGCUGCGCCAGGCCGAGGCCGAGCUCCAGGUGCCUCCCGCUUCUCUUCGGGGCCAUUCCGGGGAAUUUGGGAAUUUCCUGCCACUUGGAUUUCGGGAGAGGGCCGGGAUUUCCUGCCGUGCG
rnacentral:lncRNA from 1 species